rnacentral:rRNA from 1 species
UUUAGGACCAGGCGGCAUGUUUUCACAUGCCAGUCCAACGGCAGCACGGGUGCUUGCAUCUGGUGGCGAGUGGCGGACGGGUGAGUAAUGCAUCGGAACAUGUCCUUAAGUGGGGGAUAACGCAUCGAAAGAUGUGCUAAUACCGCAUAAUCUCUGAGGAGAAAAGCAGGGGAUCGCAAGACCUUGCGCUUUUGGAGUGGCCGAUGCCUGAUUAGCUAGUUGGUGAGGUAAUGGCUCACCAAGGCGUCGAUCAGUAGUUGGUCUGAGAGGACGACCAGCCACACUGGGACUGAGACACGGCCCAGACUCCUACGGGAGGCAGCAGUGGGGAAUUUUGGACAAUGGGGGAAACCCUGAUCCAGCCAUGCCGCGUGAGUGAAGAAGGCCUUCGGGUUGUAAAGCUCUUUCAGUCGAGAAGAAAAAAUUGCGACUAAUAAUCGUAAUUUAUGACGGUAUCGACAGAAGAAGCACCGGCUAACUACGUGCCAGCAGCCGCGGUAAUUCGUAGGGUGCGAGCCGUUAUCGGAAUUACUGGGCGUAAAGGGUGCGCAGCGGCUUUGUAAGUCAAUGUGAAAUCCCCGGCUUAACCUGGGAACUGCGUUUGAACUACAAGCUAGAGUGUACAAAGGGGGUAGACUCCUUUGUACAAUGAAAUCUUAAAAUAUGGAAAACACCCAUGCCAAAGGCGCCCUGGGUAAACUUACCUAUCCCAAACGGGGGACAACAGAUAGAACCUGUGGUCCCCCUA